ACCCGGCUGACGAGUCCUAGAUAGGGUGAAACGGUCGUCCUGGAU
rfam:Schistosoma haematobium scaffold470_4, whole genome shotgun sequence.